rfam:Salmo salar isolate Sally breed double haploid chromosome ssa11, whole genome shotgun sequence.
CUCCCUGUGGCUCAGUUGGUAGAGCAUGGUGUUUGCAAUGCCAGGGUUGUGGGUUCGAUUCCCACGGGGGGC